UACAGAGGUCUCAAGCGUUGUUCGGAUUCAUUGGGCGUAAAGGGUGCGUAGGUGGCGGGGUUAGUCAGGUGUGAAAACCUGGGGCUCAACCCCGGGCCUGCAGCCGAUACGGGCAAGCUAGAAUUCGGUAGGGGAGACUGGAAUUCCUGGUGUAGCGGUGAAAUGCGCAGAUAUCAGGAAGAACACCCGUGGCGAAGGCGGUUCUCUGGGACGGUACUGACGCUGGAGACGCGAAAGCGUGGGGAGCAAACAGG
rnacentral:rRNA from 1 species